GCAUUGGUGGUUCAGUGGUAGAAUUCUUGCCUCCCACGUGGGAGAGCUGUGUUUGAUUCCCAGCCAAUGCA
rfam:Ailuropoda melanoleuca scaffold2516_24, whole genome shotgun sequence.